GCCUUCGUGGUGUAAUGGUCAGCACACUGAGCCGGUAUUUCAGAGGUCCGCGGUUCGAUUCCCAGCGAAGGCG
rfam:Stegodyphus mimosarum contig127134, whole genome shotgun sequence.